rnacentral:rRNA from 1 species
CGCCAAGAGAGUUUGAUCCUGGCUCAGAUUGAACGCUGGCGGCAUGCCUUACACAUGCAAGUCGAACGGCAGCACGGGAGCAAUCCUGGUGGCGAGUGGCGAACGGGUGAGUAAUAUAUCGGAACGUGCCCAGUCGUGGGGGAUAACGCAGCGAAAGCUGUGCUAAUACCGCAUACGAUCUAUGGAUGAAAGCGGGGGAUCGCAAGACCUCGCGCGAUUGGAGCGGCCGAUAUCAGAUUAGCUAGUUGGUGGGGUAAAGGCCUACCAAGGCGACGAUCAGUAGCCGGCCUGAGAGGGUGAACGGCCACACUGGGACUGAGACACGGCCCAGACUCCUACGGGAGGCAGCAGUGGGGAAUCUUCCGCAAUGGACGAAAGUCUGACGGAGCAACGCCGCGUGUAUGAUGAAGG